GACGAACGCUGGCGGCGUGCUUAACACAUGCAAGUCGAACGAAGUGGCGAACGGGUGAGUAACGCGUAAUCAACCUGCCCUUCAGAGGGGGACAACAGUUGGAAACGACUGCUAAUACCGCAUAGUGAAGGAGGGGAUUGCGUCUGAUUAGCUAGGUGCAGGGGUAACGGCCCACCAAGGCGAUGAUCAGUAGCCGGUCUGAGAGGCUGAACGGCCACACUGGGACUGGGACACGGCCCAGACUCCUACCGUGGGCAGCAGGGGGGAAUCGUCCGCAAUGGACGAAAGUCUGACGGAGCAACUCCGCGUGAGUGAUGACGGCCUUCGGGUUGUAAAGCUCUGUUAAUCGGGACGCGUUACCGGAAUAGAAAGCCACGGCUAACUACGUGCCAGCAGCCGCGGUAAUUC
rnacentral:rRNA from 1 species